GUGCUUGUAGCUCAGCUGGACAGAGCAACGGCCUUCUAAGCCGUGGGUCGGGGGUUCGAAUCCUCCCAAGCACG
rfam:Halobacteroides halobius DSM 5150, complete genome.